rnacentral:rRNA from 1 species
UACAGAGGUCCCAAGCGUUGUUCGGAUUUACUGGGCGUAAAGGGUGCGUAGGUGGCCGGGAAAGUCUGAUGUGAAAUCUCCGAGCUUAACUUGGAAAUGGCAUUGGAAACUAUCUGGCUUGAGGGCCGGAGGGGAGACUGGAAUUCUCGGUGUAGCAGUGAAAUGCGUAGAUAUCGAGAGGAACACCGGUGGCGAAAGCGAGUCUCUGGACGACUCCUGACACUGAGGCACGAAAGCUGGGGGAGCAAACAGG